GACAGAGGGUGCAAACGUUGUUCGGAAUUACUGGGCGUAAAGCGCGUGUAGGCCGCUCCGCAGGUCGGAUGUGAAAGCCCUGGGCUCAACCUAGGAAGUGCAUUCGAAACCGCGGAGCUCGAGUCUUGGAGAGGAUCGCGGAAUUCUCGGUGUAGAGGUGAAAUUCGUAGAUAUCUGGAGGAACACCGGUGGCGAAGGCGGCAUCCUGGACCAAUAUUGACGCUGAGGAGCGAAAGCCAGGGGAGCAAACGGG
rnacentral:rRNA from 1 species